GGUGGCUCAAUGGUAGAGUCCUUGCCUUGCAUGCAUGAGGCCCUGGGUUCAAUUCCUCAGCACCA
rfam:Dipodomys ordii contig_61353, whole genome shotgun sequence.